GUGAAGCUGGAUUCGCUAGUAAUCGCGCAUCAGCCAUGGCGCGGUGAAUACGUUCCCGGGCCUUGUACACACCGCCCGUCACACCAUGGGAGCCGGUAAUACCCGAAGUCAGUAGUCUAACCGCAAGGGGGACGCUGCCGAAGGUAGGAUUGGCGACUGGGGUGAAGUCGUAACAAGGUACC
rnacentral:rRNA from 1 species